rnacentral:lncRNA from 1 species
UCUAUGCCCAUCCAUCUAGUAGUCAUCCUCAUAAAAGCUGUUGUUUUGAUCUGAAUAAUCUUCUUCUUCUGAGCUCAAGUUGGUAUAAUUCUUCCUUAAAAGUACCUACUGUAGAUUUAACUAGUGAGAGCGAGCACCUGCAUCUCCAGACAAGUAAACAGAGUGCAACUUCAUUUGGAUGGGACAUUAUCAGAUCGAUUUCCCUAUAGAUUUAACUUGUGAGAGUGAGCACCUGCAUCUCCAGACAAGUAAACAGAGUGCAACUUCAUCAGGAUGGGACAUUAUCAGAUCGAUUUCUAAAGCGAUCUCUUGUUAUAUU